UUAGGAGAUGUUUAUAUUUAAUAUUUAUGGAAGGAGUCUCCAGUGUCAGCACUUUAUAACUGUCGUAGGUAAAGCUGUAAUGUUAAGUUUUCAGGCAUCUUCAGGACAGAGGAAUUUAUGCUUUACAGUUUUUCUGCUUUUAUGACAGCUUUACGGCAGAGAAAACAGAGUGGAUGUUGAGGGAAGGACCGUUUAUACUGUAGCUGCUAAAACAUGAGUGAGAACAGGAAAGCAACUUGUUGCACGGACGUUCCUCAACAUUAAAUGUAAUUAUAAAUGGUUAAAAACUGUAGGGAAUAGCCCUCCGCUUUGCAUCGGGUCAUAUCACAGAACCCAGGAGUGGAUUUACUUACUGUAUAUAAGGGAGUUAUUCCUUACAUAAGCAUCACUACUGAAAGUGAAUUGUUUCCAUGUUUUCUAAAAUUACUUCACCACUUAAACAUAUACAGACACUGCAGGUAGUCUUAAAGGGACUUUAAAGGGAUUAAUUCUGCAUCGAGGAAGUUUAUUUAAUAUUGAAUAGCUUUCGAAUGUUUACAUUUUACAUGAUACAUUUCUACAUACGUCAUAAAGAAGAAAAUAUAUAAAACAGACAUUUUAAAGUGGACAUUUAAUUUGUAGUCAGUAUGUAAAUGAAAUAAAAAAAUUCUGAGAAAGCCCUGUUCCUAAAGACCUUUUAAGACACGCUUUUAUGUUCACACGAGCCAAAAUGAAAGAUGUUUAAAAUAUGUAUUUUUGUAAGAUAGGUGUGAUGAAGGUGAAUGAAGUUACUGAUAACACUCUGAAGCACAUUAUUUUCCAAUAAUAGCAUGCCCCUAAGUGUUUUAUUCUUCAUAUAUCACAGUGUUUUGAUAAGAAUUAAACUUUUUUUGUUUAUUCAAUAAUGACACAUCACAUUUUUAAUUGUUUACUGUUACAUUGUGAUGAUGACGUUAUGGAACAUCCAGGAACCUGUUCUCACUUACUUUAUAGGUGCUAUAAACUGCCGCUCCCUCGCGUUUCUCUCUCUUUUGAAGUUCGUUUUUGUUUUGUUUUACUUGGACGGAUGAGUUUUUCAGUAUUCAGAGGAAGCAAAAACACCUGUACAAGCUUUUUGCUGCGUUACUGUACCACGACCUCGCCCUGGUUGCUUACUCAUCAUUGGAAUGCAGGGCAAGCAGUAUGUUUUGGACGCUUUUUUGAAGAAAGAAGCAGAGCUGUCGACUGAUCACCGCUUCGUGAUUUUAAAAGUUUUCAGACUCAAUGGAAGAGGAUGGUGCAGAUCAGAGGGACAAUCAUGAGGAGGAAACUCAGUGUGAAGAUCUCAGCACUGUUACACAGGUUCCCCGCACAACACUGCACAUUUACCGGGGCAACUCCCUGUUGGCUUGACACUCCAGCAGACGCAUCACAGGCACUCUUGGUGGCGCAUCCUUUCAUAUACAAGGCAUUGUUCCCUUGUUGAACUGUGUGUGUGUGUGUGUGUGUGUGUGUGUGUGUGUGUGUGUGUGACAGAGAAAGAGAGAGAGAGAGAGAGUGAGAGAGAGAGAAAGAGAGAGAGUGAGAGUGAGGGAGAGAGAAACAGAGAGAGCAAGAGACAGAGAGAGAGAGUGAGAGAGAGAAACAG